GGAUAAUAAUUAUAGAAGUGACCCCAUAACUCUCCCGUUCCUCGAAAUUUUACCAUCCCCUUCCCUUCGCACAGCCAUGGCCAUCGCGUGCUUCGUCUCAUCCACGACCGCCUCCAUCCCAAAUCCUUCCCUCUUCAUCCCAAACGCUAACGCUAGGCCCAGUCACUCUAUCCUCCUUCCCAUUUCCCCUUCUCACAAAUCCCCCGCCAUGCGCUAUCAUCGCCGGUCGUCACAAACCCUAGCACUCCGUUGCUCCUCCGUCGCCACACCUCCGCUGCCUCUGCCCCACCUCAUUUCAGACUCCACCCGCACCCUCUCGUCCCUCAUCUCCCUCGCCCUAUCCGUCGUCCACCGCCUUUUCGCUGCAGCUGCGGCGUCCGUGGCGGCAACAGCCCCUACUCCGACUGAGCUUUCUGAGAUUCAAUCUCUGCGGGGUUCUCUCGCUUGCGGCGUUGGUCCGCUCUUCUUCGCCGCCCUCCGGGACCGGCCAAGUGGGUAUUUGAACACGCCGCUGACGGUGGUGGCCUCGGGAAUGAGCAAAUGGCUUGACAUAUACAGCGGCGUCCUUAUGGUGCGGGUCUUGCUUAGUUGGUUUCCCAAUAUCCCGUGGGAUCGGCAGCCUCUUUCUGCAAUUAGGGAUCUCUGUGAUCCCUAUCUCAACCUCUUCCGCAACAUAAUACCACCUAUUUUCGACACGUUGGACGUCAGCCCGCUUCUGGCUUUUGCAGUCUUAGGCACGCUUGGUUCGAUCCUUAAGAGCGCUCGUGGGAUGUACUAGGAUGACUUGAGAAUUUAAAAGCAGCUGAAGAACAAUCGAAGGAACAGAUAGUAGAUAGAGUUUAGAGCUUGGCCUUUUGCAAAAUGUGCAUAAUUUUUGAAGAAGAGCAUAAUCACACGACAAAUAUGUAGUUAAUGGCACUGAAAUAAACCACAGAUGAUCGGAGGAAUUAUCAAAUUUUGCUCAACUACAAAGGAAGCGAUAUGAAGGAAAACCAAUAAACAAUACUAUGAUUGUCAGUUCACAAGUACCUUAUUCAUUAGAAAUCUAACCCAUAUAAAGUUUUAUUCUGCUCAUAGUCUAGCAUUAAUUCUAUCAUUGCUUCAAACUUUUCCUUU